UACGUAGGGGGGCAAGCGUUGUCCGGAUUUAUUGGGCGUAAAGAGCGUGUAGGCGGCUUUACAGGUCCGUUGUGAAAACUCGAGGCUCAACCUCGAGACGCCGGUGGAAACCGUAAGGCUAGAGUCCGGAAGAGGAGAGUGGAAUUCCUGGUGUAGCGGUGAAAUGCGCAGAUAUCAGGAAGAACACCCGUGGCGAAGGCGGUUCUCUGGGACGGUACUGACGCUGAGACGCGAAAGCGUGGGGAGCGAACAGG
rnacentral:rRNA from 1 species